AUUUACUUUUACAUUCUUUGAUGUUGGAAGCAUUUUCUGUUACAAUUUAAAGUUUAAGUAUCUUACUAUUAUAUACCACAAAGUUGGGGUACCGUUAGUGUAAUUUACCCCUGGAAGAGGUUACCCCACAAUUAUAUAUUAUUCUCCCCUGUAUGAUCAAUGAUAUCCAGAACAAAAACAUAGAAACACGUUCAUCAGGGCAAAAGGGUCUUUUUGGGUAUUCUCUCUUGGAUGGCCAAAGAGCUUAGUUGGUUGAUUUUCUUUUUUCAAAGAGCUUAGUUGUAUCCACCUGCCACUACCUUAAAAAAAAAAAAAAA
rnacentral:misc_RNA from 1 species